GGAGCGAACGCUGGCGGCAGGCCUAACACAUGCAAGUCGAACGGACCCUUCGGGGUUAGUGGCGGACGGGUGAGUAACACGUGGGAACGUGCCUUUUGGUGGGGGAUAACGUAGGGAAACUUACGCUAAUACCGCAUACGCCCUUCGGGGGAAAGCCGGGGACCAGCAAUGGCCUGGUGCUGAUAGAUGGGCCGAUGUCGGAUUAGCUAGUUGGUGAGGUAAUGGCUCACCAAGGCGACGAUCCGUAGCUGGUCUGAGAGGAUGAUCAGCCACACUGGAACUGAGACACGGUCCAGACUCCUACGGGAGGCAGCAGUGGGGAAUAUUGGACAAUGGGCGCAAGCCUGAUCCAGCCAUACCGCGUGGGGUGAAGAAGGCCUUCGGUUGUAAAGUCCCGUUUUGUUGGGAAAGAAAAGCAUUCGGUUAAUACCCGGUGUUCUGACGGUACCCAAAGAAUAAGCACCGGCUAACUUCGUGCCAGCAGCCGAC
rnacentral:rRNA from 1 species